UACGUAGGGGGCAAGCGUUGUCCGGAUUUACUGGGCGUAAAGAGCGUGUAGGCGGCCACGCAGGUCCGUUGUGGAAACUGGAGGCUCAACUUCCAGCCGUCGACGGAAACCGUGUGGCUAGAGUCCGGAAGAGGAGAGUGGAAUUCCUGGUGUAGCGGUGAAAUGCGCAGAUAUCAGGAAGAACACCAAUGGCGAAGGCAGCUCUCUGGGACGGUACUGACGCUGAGACGCGAAAGCGUGGGGAGCGAACAGG
rnacentral:rRNA from 1 species